CCAGACUCCUACGGGAGGCAGCAGUGAGGAAUAUUGGUCAAUGGGCGGAAGCCUGAACCAGCCAAGUCGCGUGAGGGAAGAAGGCCCUGCGGGUCGCAGACCUCUUUGGACGGGGAGCAAGGCCGCCGACGUGUCGGCGGAAGGAGAGUACCCGUAGAACAAGCAUCGGCUAACUCCGUGCCAGCAGCCGCGGUAAUACGGAGGAUGCGAGCGUUAUCCGGAUUUAUUGGGUUUAAAGGGGGCGCAGGCGGGACGUCAAGCGGGGGGGUAAAUCGCGGGGCUCACCCCCGCCCAGCCGUCGGAACAGCCGGGCUAGAGGGGGCGAGAAGUGCGCGGAAUGCGUGGUGUAGCGGUGAAAUGCGUAG
rnacentral:rRNA from 1 species